rnacentral:rRNA from 1 species
CACGUAGGGGACGAGCGUUGUCCGGAUUCAUUGGGCGCAAAGCGCGCGUAGGCGGCUCGGAAAGUCGGGCGUGAAAUGCCGGGGCUCAACCCCGGGACUGCGUCCGAUACUUCCGAGCUGGAGGUAGGUAGGGGAGAUCGGAAUUCCUGGUGUAGCGGUGAAAUGCGCAGAUAUCAGGAGGAACACCGGUGGCGAAAGGGCGGGAU